rnacentral:rRNA from 1 species
ACGAACGCUGGCGGCGUGCUUAACACAUGCAAGUCGAACGGAAAGGCCCCUUUGGGGGUACUCGAGUGGCGAACGGGUGAGUAACACGUGAUUAACCUGCCCUUGACUUCGGGAUAACUUCUGGAUACUUGGGCUAAUACCGGAUAGGAAUCCUUUCUGCAUGGUUGGGGUUUGAAAGCUUCUGCGGUUUUGUUUGGACUGGCGGCUUAUCAUCUUGUUGGUGGGGUAGUGGCUUACCAAGGCUUUGACGGGUAGCCUGCCUGGGCGGGCGACAGGCCACAUUGGGAAUGAGAUACGGCCAAGACACGUACGGGAGGAAGAAGUGGGGAAUAUUGAAAAAUGGGCGGAAGCCUGAUGCAGCAAAGCCGCGUGCGGGAUGACGGACUUGGGGUUGGAAACCGCUUUCAGCAGGGGAGAAGCUUGUGGUGACGGUACCUGCAGAAGAAGCACCGGCUAACUACGUG